rnacentral:rRNA from 1 species
CAGUCGCCGCGGGAAUACGGAGGGUGCAAGCGUUAAUCGGAUUUACUGGGCGUAAAGCGUGCGUAGGCGGCUUUUUAAGUCAGGGGUGAAAUUCCGGGGCUCAACCCCGGAACUGCCUUUGAUACUGGAAGUCUUGAGUAUGGUAGAGGUGAGUGGAAUUCCGAGUGUAGAGGUGAAAUUCGUAGAUAUUCGGAGGAACAACAGUGGCGAAGGCGGCUCACUGGACCAUUACUGACGCUGAGGUGCGAAAGCGUGGGGAGCAAACAGGAUUAGAUACCCCCGUAGUCCCUGUCUCUUAUAC